GAGGCUCUUGAGAAAAAAAUAGAAUUGUUAAAUGAGCAGUUGUCCUCAUUUCAGGAUUUAUCAGAAAAGAAGGAAGAUUAUCUUCUAGAAGAAGAAGAGACCCCUCAAACUGGAAGAAGUCAAAUGCUCGAAGGAAUGACAAUAGAAAGAAAGGAGCAAGACAUUCAAGAAAAGGACUUUAUAAUUGCUAAAAAAAUUAAACAAAUAUCAGAAUUAACAAAAAAAUUAGAAGAAAAUACUGGAGAAUUGAAAAAUAAAGAUGCUAAAAUUUCUGCUGAUGGUUUGGAACUGAUAUCUCUCAAAGAGAAGUUGGCAGAGAAAGAAAUGAUAACAAGGGGAUAUCAGACAGAAG